rnacentral:rRNA from 1 species
GACGUAGGGUGCGAGCGUUGUCCGGAUUUAUUGGGCGUAAAGAGCUCGUAGGCGGCUCGUCGCGUCAGCUGUGAAAACCCGCAGCUUAACUGUGGGCUUGCAGCUGAUACGGGCGGGCUAGAGUUCGGUAGGGGAGACUGGAAUUCCUGGUGUAGCGGUGAAAUGCGCAGAUAUCAGGAGGAACACCGGUGGCGAAGGCGGGUCUCUGGGCAGUAACUGACGCUGAGGAGCGAAAGCGUGGGGAGCGAACAGG